AAUGGGCGAAAGCCUGACGGAGCAACGCCGCGUGAGGGACGAAGGCCUUAGGGUUGUAAACCUCUUUUCUCUGGGAAGAAGAUCUGACGGUACCAGAGGAAUAAGCCUCGGCUAACUCCGUGCCAGCAGCCGCGGUAAGACGGAGGAGGCAAGCGUUAUCCGGAAUUAUUGGGCGUAAAGCGUCCGUAGGCGGUUUUUUAAGUCUGUUGUCAAAGCCCACAGCUCAACUGUGGAUCGGCAAUGGAAACUGGGGAACUUGAGUGUGGUAGGGGUAGAGGGAAUUCCCGGUGUAGCGG
rnacentral:rRNA from 1 species